UUCUAGGUAAAAAUUCCCUUUAUCAUGACUUUUAUAUCUAAAACUACAGUUUAUUGAAAAACUUGCAGAUUUAAUUAAAAUUUGGAUCCAACAUUUAACAUAGAAACACCAGUAAAUUGUAAUAUUAUUGAUUAAUAUAUGCAUCGUGCCCUAUUUUUUGUUUGUCAGUUUCAAAUACAAGGUAUAUAUUGAAUGUUAUAGAAAGAUAACUGCUUUCAGUAACUUCUAGGGGGUGUUUGAAGAUUUUGUAGAUAUUUUUUUAAUCCUGAUUUUGAAAUAAAUAUCAAAAAGGCUAAUCUUUGCCAGAUGAGCAAUAUUGGUUCUAUUCUUGAUUAUGUAUUCUUGUAAGGGUUUGUUGUCAUGCAUUUUUAUAGUUGUAUUAUAUUUUCUACGUAGGAAGGGUGCACUAUGUUUUCUGGUCUUUUUGUCCAUCUGUUUGUCCGUCAAUCCAGUAUCAAGUAAAUGUUUUGGUUGAAGGUAGUUUAUCCUUAGGCUGUGGACACAUCAAUUUGAAACUUAGUGCACAUAUGUUCAUUGUGGUGUGAACUUCUUAAAAUAUAUACCAUACUAGGGUUUUGACCUAGAUUUCACAGUUCACUUAACUUUGAAAUAUGAUAUUGUCUAAUUCUGAUUUUGGGUGGGUGUCAUACUCAUAGAUAUAUAUGAGUGUAUUUUGGUAACAGUUGGAUGUCUUGCUGUUGUGUGGUAAUUCUAUAGUAUUGGUGAUUUAUCAUGCAUUUUUAUGGUCAAAUUUUGAACUGUUUAAUAUGGUUUCCUGUCUACCUUUGUAUACCCCUAAUUGAAGAAGGAGUAUAUAGUGAUGUACAUGUCCAUCCCUUACAAGUUUGGUUUCCAGAUUAUAAUUAAAGAACAACUUGCCUAAAUGUUUAAAAUUUUAACAAAAUAUCAUAGAGCAUAAAAUAUAGUUCAAGUCUGAUAUUUAUAGUUUUGACAUUUACUGUUCAAGAGUUGAGUAAUGCCAGUAGUUACCUUGAAAGGUGAUUUUUAUACAACCGCAAAAAAUUUUGUGAAGACACAUUGGUUUUCGCACAAUAACUUUAGUUUAAGUGAAUGGAUCUCUAUGAAAUUUUACCAUAAGGUUCAAUACCACAAAAGAAAGGUUGGGAUUGAUUUUAGGGGUUAUGGUACCAACAGUUAAGGAAUUAGGGGCCAAAAAGGGGCAAAAAAUAAGCAGUUUUGUAACUUCCAGACAAUAAUUUGUGUGUUAGUGUAUGGAUCUCUCUGACAUUGUACCACAAGGUUCCAUAUCACAAAGGGAAUGCUGGGAUUGAUUUUGGAGGUAAUUGCCUCAAAAUUUUAGGAAUUAGGGGCAAAAAAAGGGGCAAAAAACAAGCAUUUUUCGAGUUUCAUGACAAUAACUUGUGUGUAAGUGAAUGGAUCUUUCUGAAAUUGUAUUACAAGGUUCCAUAUCACAAAGGGAAAGCUGGGUUUGAGUUUGGGGGUAAUUGCCCAAUGUUUAGGAAUUUGGGGCCACAAAGGGGCCAAAAAACAAACAUUUUUACAAUUUCCAGACAAUAACUUGUGUUCAAGUGUAUGGAUCUCUCUGAAAUUGUACUGCAAGGUACCAUACCACAAAGGGAAGGCUGGGAUUGAGUUUGGGGGUUAUGAAUCAUAAGGGGGUUCAAAAAAUUUGGGGGGGGGGGGAUGUUUUUUUCCUUUUUUUUUUUUUUUUUUUUUUUUUUCUCUUAAA